rnacentral:rRNA from 1 species
GCUGGCGGCGUGCUUAACACAUGCAAGUCGCACGAGAACGUUUCAGCUUGCUGAAACUAGUAAAGUGGCGCACGGGUGAGUAACGCGUGGGUAAUCUACCUCCGAAUUGGGGAUAACAUUGCGAAAGCGAUGCUAAUACCGAAUGACAUCUCAAUAACCUCGGUCUUUGAGAUCAAAGGUGGCCUCUCCAUGGAAGCUACUGUUUGGAGAUGAGCCCGCGUACCAUUAGCUUGUUGGUAGGGUAAUGGCCUACCAAGGCGACGAUGGUUAGCUGGUCUGAGAGGAUGAUCAGCCACACUGGAACUGACACACGGUCCAGACUCCUACGGGAGGCAGCAGUGAGGAAUUUUGCGCAAUGGGGGAAACCCUGACGCAGCAACGCCGCGUGAGUGAUGAAGGCUUUCGGGUCGUAAAGCUCUGUCAAGUGAGAAGAAACUGCCCUUUGCUAAUAUCAUUGGGCACUGACGGUAUCACUGAAGGAAGCACCGGCUAACUCCGUGCCAGCAGCCGCGGUAAUACGGAGGGUGCAAGCGUUAUUCGGAAUCACUGGGCGUAAAGAGCGCGUAGGCGGUUUCUAAAGUCA